AACAGACCCACCUUCAGCCUCCUGGUUGUCCCAUUCUUCCAGUCAACUCUAUGCCUCAGUCUCCUUCGCCCUUCUCUGUUACUUCUACCCACCUUUCUCCCAUUACACUUGGCCUGACUGCCCUGACCUCGACCACCACCUAUCCUAUCCUGCUCUGAUCUUCCCUGCCUUUUUCCUUUCACUUUGCCACUUCCUCAGUACCUCAGUUUUUUGCACAGGACUCCCUCCUCUUCCAGUUCCUCUGGGCCCCUCUUCUUCCCCCCACCCCAGACUCCAGAUGCUUACUCUACCUCAGCUGCCAGCCUCCUCCUCCCCAUCCUUGCCCCUACCCCACAGGUUGCCGACGUUGCUCAGGAGCAUCUCUGUCUGGCCCCGUGGUGACGGUGGCUCAGGUCAUCUGUGAGUGUCAAACCUAGCAUAGGCAGAGGCCUGCAACCAGAUAAGUGCAGGGCCCAUUCCCAGAUGCUCCUCCCAGCCUUCCUUCCCUCUGGGCCCUAAGGCGUCUCUCGAAUGCUUACUGGGGGAAGUUGUGGGCUUGCCUUUCCCUAUCCUGCCCACAUACUCCCACUUUCAGAGGAACUAAGGAGUAUGGGAUGAGGACGGGCUGAAAACAAGACUUCCUGAUUGGUUUUCUCUGCACAAGCACAAUUGCUCUACACCAUCAAGGAUCUGGGUGGUGGGGAGGGAAGGAGUACUCUUGAUACCUCUAGCUCUUUUCCCUGUGGCUACUAACUACUGGCCUGCCUUCCUAAUUGUCCAUGACCUUUAAUUGCCCCUGCUCCCCCCAUCCUCCCCCAGGUUCUCAGCUUCCUUGCUUCCAUGGCUCCAGCACCAUUCGCAACCUCAAAGAGAGGUUCCACAUGAGCAUGACUGAGGAGCAGCUGCAGCUGCUGGUGGAGCAGAUGGUGGACGGCAGCAUGAGGUCCAUCACCACCAAACUCUACGAUGGCUUCCAGUACCUCACCAAUGGCAUCAUGUGACACCACUUUCAGGCCCAGAAGUGGUGGGAUUGAAGGCACCCUCCUUAGGAGGACCCUUGCCUAAGAAAACCUAAAUCACAAAAUCCCACCUACCUAACCACCUACCCAAGGGAAAUGGAAGGCAAAAAACACAAAGGAUCAUGUGGUAACCAUGAGAGCUGGCCAAAGGGUAGGAGAGCCAACCAUGGGGUCCAGACUUGCUGGGGCUUCCCCACCUCUUGCUGUGUCAGUAUUGCCACCUGACAGAUCCCAGGACUCACUGCCCUCCAGAGAACAGAGAUGAUGAACAUGAGGAGGACUGGAACCUUCUUCCCCUCGGGGAUCUCAGAGGUUUUCUACAAAACCAUCUUUUACUUUCCCUG
rnacentral:lncRNA from 1 species